UAUAAGUCUGUAUUCAAAUUCACAACAAAAUAUUUCAAACAUUACAUUUUCUGAGUGUCAGUCUCUGUCCCAGUCCAUUAAUAACUGUUAAAAGUCAGUGCGAAUGUGGCAGCAUAGUCUAUGCGUUGCAUAUAAUAUACCUUGAAUGCACCCUGAUGGCCUGAUAGCCUAUCCGUGAGCAGGGGCCCGUAUUUAGGACGGCCCUCUCCCCUGCUCUUCCGUUUUCCGCAUCACUUUCGUUAAGAGGCCGGCUCCCUUUUCACCACAGCGUGUGUAUGGCUGUGUGCUGCUCCGUGCCGCUCCUAUGUGCUCCCGUUUGGCUGUGUUGUCGGAGGCUGGUGGUGGUGGCAGUGUCGGUGACUGGUGGUGGUGUCCCCUCAUUUGAUGUGCUGUGCUCCCUGGUGUUGGUUACUUCAAAGUGUGUGGGUGAUUUAUUUCUAUUUAUUUAUUUUGGGUGAACCACUCCCCGUUCACUAAUACCUGUCCACCUGGUAAGCCUCUGCUCCUGAUUAGUUGCCCUUUUUGUGUGAAUGAUUUUGAUUAUUUAUUUUAAAUGACUGCAAUAAAAGAUAUAUUUUUAUACCUUGAA